CAGCAGCCGCGGUAAUACAGAGGGUGCGAGCGUUAAUCGGAUUUACUGGGCGUAAAGCGUGCGUAGGCGGCUUCUUAAGUCGGAUGUGAAAUCCCUGAGCUUAACUUAGGAAUUGCAUUCGAUACUGGGAAGCUAGAGUAUGGGAGAGGAUGGUAGAAUUCCAGGUGUAGCGGUGAAAUGCGUAGAGAUCUGGAGGAAUACCGAUGGCGAAGGCAGCCAUCUGGCCUAAUACUGACGCUGAGGUACGAAAGCAUGGGGAGCAAACAGGAUUAGAUACCCGCGUAGUCCCUGUCUCUUAACA
rnacentral:rRNA from 1 species